CUCACCCGUAGAAUUUGUCCUGGUCGAGGAUCCCAUCAAUGUCUAGGAAGCUCACGUUGCCCUUCUUCUCUGCCAUCCAUUCCAUCUUGACUUUCAUGAGUUCCAUGCAUAUCUUGCGGUUUGUUUCUCUUCUGACCUCGUACUGCACUCUUUCCCGUGGGCGCUGCAGGACCCCCACCACAGCCACACACAUCUUCUUUUCUUCUACUGCCCUCACUGCUUCUAUCACUUCCUUUACUGUUUCUUCAGCACCUGCCUCUAAUAAGUUGUUGCCUCCUCCUUGAAUCACUAGCAGGUUUCUCUCUUCCAUUUCUUGCACUUCUUGACUUUCCUCUUGACGUCUUGGAUCUUAGCACCUCCCAUGCUGGUGCACUCAAUUUCCCUUCUCACAAAGUCGGGAGUCUUCCUUACCAUGCUGUCUCCAAUGACACGUACUGGGGCUUCCUUGAUUACCAUUCUCUUCUUUCUUGGGUGUCUAUUCUAGCCACUUCCACCACUUCUUGCUGGUCUUUCCUCUCUUCAGUCUUCGUCGUCUGUGCUUCUGCCUCUUUUAUCAGGUUUUCUGUCUGGGUGCUCUGCUCCACUCUCUCUUCUUUUUCCUCAUCCUGGUUCCUCCACUCAUUGAGGCUCUUGCUCAGGCAUUCCCUGCAGAGGAACACCAGAAGCUUGAACCCCAGCGCCUUCAUGUUGGUCUUCCUCAUGCCCACACAGGCUAAAUGGAACCAGGCCAUGCAUCUCUCGCAUGCCACAGUCCUUUGCCUGUUCGCCGCACUCUCCUCGCAUGAAUCACACGCACUCAUCACCAUUUUCAGGGUAUUUCAGCACACAGGCAAGAGAAAAUAAACCACAAAACUCUCAGCUGAUUCGCAAGUCUUCACAGGAGGACCCAGACCAAGACCCAGACCAGACCAAGACACUCCUCUGGCUUUCUCACUUCACCCAUCAAUUUAAGACACUGAGGCGUCGUAGGAUGCUGGGCGGUGAAGAAAGGAUUCGUAAAUAAAUAAGAAGCCUGGUGCACAUCAACUCCACCUGCAUCAUGGCAGAGAAAAUGGCCCUCAUCCUACUGGACUACCUCUUCAUCAAGGACAUGCUGGCCACCUCAAACCUCUCCAGCACAAGCUGGUGGAAGGAGCAGCAGCUGAAUCCCCUCAUGAUGUUCGGCAUCAGGUGUUAUCAACAAUACAAAUUCAACAUGAAUUUGAAACUGUGGCAUAAGAUUUGUCAGAGCAUGGACUCCACCUGGAAGUGGCACAUCUGAAGCAUGGUGAUCCAGCCCAAGCAUUGGCAGGCACCUCACCUCACCAGUGUGCAAGGACUUGACUGUUACUGAGGACAUCGCCUUCAACUUUGACUCCCUGCAGGACUCCAAUCUUGACCUCAGUGAUGUGAAGAUGAGAGGAUGAAGGAGAGCAUCAGAGCAAAGUGCAAGCAACACCUUGACCACACCUCUUAAGAAGCUGAAGGAAUACAUCAACAAGAACAAGGACAAGAAGAAACCCAUGAAAGUUGACACUGGCAAUGCUGGGUUGUCUGCUUCCUGCCCAUUACAGGAUGGCAUUAUUGUCUUGACAGUCAGCACCUCUACAUUGUCACUGUAUUCAUCAUGGACAAGCCAUACAAGAAAGAUCACUACUGUACAGCAACAUUGGAGUUCUCAUCCAAUGCCCUGGAUGACAAAAAAUGCGUCUGACUUCAAUAGGUGCGGCUGCAGACUUGGGAAGACUUGUUUCAUGCCACAGUGCAGAAGGUUCAUGGGUAGCAAGAUGCUGGAUUCUGCACCAAGUUGGCUCUGGAAUAGUAGUUAUCAUGAUAGAGCAGUUAUUACAUCUACUAUAGUUAGUAAGCCUACUGAUGUGGGGGACAUCUCUGGAUCUGGAGAUGACCAUGUUUACAUAAAAUGUUUGAGAGGUAUAAUCCUUGAGCUGGAUGUCAGCCAGUGUAUAGGUGAAUAUCAUUGUAGGUCUGUAUAUUCUGAAAUGUCGUAUGCAGUGUAUUUACUAGAGAUUGAUUAGGACAUGUUAUAAUUUAUGCCUGGGAAAGCUGUUCCUUGAUCUAUAAGGAUGGCAGACUGGAUGACAAGUAACAAGAAAACCAGUACAGCAUGGUAGUCCGAGUUAAUAGCUGAAUAACGUACUUUUCUACUGUUUAAGGUUUUCAAUAUGAAGUUCUAUGAUAAGAUUUACAAUCUAAUUAUAAAGUAUUACAAUAUCCUCCACAGAUCAGAGAACUUUAAAUUGAUGGAAAACAAAACACAGAAUUGAGUGCAGAAGGUUACUCGACUUGUGACCAUGACUACCAUGCAAAAAUAACAGCCACUACCCUUACCACCACCAUCCACUGCUCUAUGUAUAACCAAUGUGUGCCUGACUCAUGUUAUACCAUCUCAACUAAUACCUAGGUAAUAUAUUCAGAAAGACACUGACCUCAUGUAAGGAUGGUUUUCAACUUCAAUUGAGAUUAUUAGUAUUGUAAUGAUGCAGAAUGUUUAGAGAUUAUUAGUAUUAUAUAAUGAUGCAGAACCCUUGUUUGUUUAGAGAUUAUUAGUAUUAUAAUGAUGCAGAACCCUUGUUAAACCUAUAUCUAGAAUCAUGAAAAUACCCAGAAAAACUUCAUUAGCUCCCAUUAGAAUUUGUUGAUAGUUUUAAGCAAGAUGCUGAAAAGUUUGAAAAUAGUUACUACCACCAGGAUCAUGAAGUUAAAAGCAGCCAUGAAAACCCCCUGAUAAUUUCCAUUAGAAUUUGUUGAAAGUCGUUGCAAAGAGAUGCUGAAAUGUCUGAAAAUAGUGCUGGAGUUACUACCACCACUAGGAUCAUGAAGUUGAAGCACCAUUACCACCAUAGAUAGAUAUAGGAUUAAAAUGUCAUACCACCAUUACCAUCAACCAAUGCUCACAUUAAUUCUACCAGGAUUUGCCACCAACGUUACCACCACCAGUUGCCUCACUACUACCAUCAGGAUAAAAACAAUGUUCUCACUCACCUCCUCUCAGGAUACAUCAUCUCACUCACACCAUGGGGGAACUCUUAAGGAUCUCCAAACUCAUCACAUGGUACAUCAUUCUGAAACAAAUACUGUAAAAUUUACUUUUCAUUGUUGAUCAACAUAAUACAAGUUAAUAGGUAGCAUUAUGUAAUGUUUUGGCUUCUACAUCAAGCAUACAAGGCCUGUAUCCCAAACAUGGUAAAUAAUGAAUAAAGGUUUUGUAUAAA